AUUGAACGCUGGCGGAAUGCUUUACACAUGCAAGUCGAACGGCAGCACGGACUUCGGUCUGGUGGCGAGUGGCGAACGGGUGAGUAAUAUAUCGGCACGUGCCCCGUCGUGGGGGAUAACGUAGUGAAAAUUACGCUAAUACCGCAUACGAUCUAUGGAUGAAAGCGGGGGACCUUUGGGACUCGCGCGAUUGGAGCGGCCGAUAUCAGAUUAGGUAGUUGGUGGGGUAAAGGCUCACCAAGCCAACGAUCUGUAGCUGGUCUGAGAGGACGACCAGCCACACUGGGACUGAGACACGGCCCAGACUCCUACGGAAGGCAGCAGUGGGGAAUUUUGGACAAUGGACGCAAGUCUGAUCCAGCCAUUCCGCGUGCAGGACGAAGGCCUUCGGGUUGUAAACUGCUUUUGUACAGAACGAAAAGGUUUCUACUAAUACUAGGAGCUCAUGACGGUACUGUAAGAAUAAGCACCGGCUAACUACGUGCCAGCCGCCGCCGUAA
rnacentral:rRNA from 1 species